GCUUCGCGCGGUUGGUUUUUCACCAGCUUUUCAAUUUCAUCCUCGCGCGCAAGAAAGAUCGCAGCUGGGAAGAGCAAGGAGGGACAGGAGGGGCAGGAGCGGCUGGUGUUGCUGCUUGCAGCGUAAGCGGCAACGGCAAGAGAGAAAAAGCGAAAGUGGGGGCGGGAGUUAGCAUGCACAUGCAGGCACAGGCAGGAUCGGAAACAGAGUGCGUACGCAGCCAAAGCCAACGGCAAAAAGAGAAUCCAACGACAUGGCACACACGCGCGCAUUUACGUCCAGCUUUUACGAACAAUUAAGGGCACAAUUAGCUAAUUAUCCGAGUGUUUAGUGCACCAGUAUGCAAGUAACGUGUCGCGCGACUGUUUUGCUCAACCGUUCAUCAUCUACAAAGAUAAUUCUCACUGCUGCGGCUGGUGUAUGUACGACGUUAUGGAUGAGCUCAAUGACGCCAGACAAGACGGAAUAAAGGAUGAGACGGAUGAUUAGCAACCAGUGUGGAGCUGCCAAAGAGCAAGGCUGAUGGGCAUUCAGAAGAGUGUGCAGGCCUCCCGGAUGAAAAAGGUUGAAACAGAUGAAGAAGGAGGAGGUGGAGAAGAAGGAUCAGCGAGGAAGCAGCAGAAAGAGCUGAUGAAUGUUCCAGCCGCUGAGAAGGAUCAGCUCAUGCAGAGGAAGAUAACCAAGAAAACCACGUGAGAAAAUUUGUUCAUCGACAGACUUGAAAAUUAUUUAGAAUAUUUCCCCAUUAAAGUCUAAUAUAACCAUAAGUUCAUAUUUAAUAUUUCAAGAGGGUUGGGCUGGGCACUACAAAUCUUUGUUUAAAAAACUGCACUGUUCCUGGCUGAGCCCCCACUUUGUGCCGAAUGCGUCUGCUGCUCGAGGCUAGCUCGAGCUCGUCGAAAAGCUCGGUACGCACUCAAGAAGGGGUUCCAACCUGGCUCUCUUGCAGGGAGGGUGGUGGUUGUGGUUUCAACCACAAACACCACCCUCCUUGCCAAGGUUAGAGCGCGAGAGCCAGGUCAGAAUCUCUCUCGAGCGCGAACCGAGCCCUUCGACGAGCUCGAGCAGCAGAUGCUUAGUCGGUUCAAUUUACUAUAAGUAAUUAAAUGAGCAGACCUAGUAAUUGGAAACUAAUUUUAAUAGAAUUUGUAUGUUAUUAUCGUAAAAUCCACUAUACUAUGCUCAAGUUUUUAAACUUUGAUGCCCUUGUUCUAGUUAAAUGGAGUAAAAAAAUUAUUUUAUGUGACACUAUAUGUAUGAAUAUUUGUAAUUAUAUCAUAAAAUGUUUAUAAUUUGCUGCAA